UACGAAGGGUGCAAGCGUUGUUCGGAUUCACUGGGCGUAAAGGGCGCGUAGGCGGCGGUGUAAGUUGGAAGUGAAAUCCCAUCGGCUCAACCGUGGAAUUGCUCCCAGUACUGCAUCGCUCGAGGGGGAUAGGGGUUUGCGGAACUACCGGUGGAGCGGUGAAAUGUGUUGAUAUCGGUGGGAACGCCAGUGGCGAAAGCGGCAAACUUGACCCUUCCUGACGCUGAGGCGCGAAAGCUAGGGGAGCAAACGGG
rnacentral:rRNA from 1 species